UACGAAGGGGGCUAGCGUUGCUCGGAAUCACUGGGCGUAAAGCGCACGUAGGCGGCUUUUUAAGUCAGGGGUGAAAUCCUGGAGCUCAACUCCAGAACUGCCUUUGAUACUGAGAGCUUGAGUCCGGGAGAGGUGAGUGGAACUGCGAGUGUAGAGGUGAAAUUCGUAGAUAUCGCAAGAACACCAGUGGCGAAGGCGGCUCACUGGCCCGGUACUGACGCUGAGGUGCGAAACGUGGGGACAAACAGGG
rnacentral:rRNA from 1 species